CCUACGGGAGGCAGCUGUGAGGAAUAUUGGUCAAUGGCCGGAAGGCUGAACCAGCCAAGCCGCGUGAGGGAGGAAGGCGCAGAGCGUCGCAGACCUCUUUUGCCGGGGGACAAAAGGGCGGACGGGUCCGGUUCUGAGGGUACCCGGUGAAAAAGCAUCGGCUAACUCCGUGCCAGCAGCCGCGGUUAUACGGAGGCUGCGAGCGUUAUCCGGAUUCAUGGGGUUUAAAGGGUGCGCAGGCGGGCCUUUAAGCCGGCGGUGAAAUCGGGGGGCUCAACCCCGCCGAGCCGUGGGAAUUGGGGGGCUUGAGGGCGGCGGAGGCAGGCGGAAUGCGCGGUGUAGCGGUGAAAUGCAUAGAUAUCGCGCAGAACCCCGAUUGCGAAGGCAGCGUGCCGUGCCGCCACUGACGCUGAGGCACGAAAGCGCGGGGAUCGAACAGGAUUAGAUACCCUUGUAGUC
rnacentral:rRNA from 1 species